AACUAACGCUGGCGGCGUGCCUAACACAUGCAAGUCGUACGAGAAAGUUGGCUUCGGCCGAUGAGUAAAGUGGCGCACGGGUGAGUAAUGCGUGGAUAAUCUGCCCUUUAGUUGGGAAUAACGUACCGAAAGGUGCGCUAAUACCUGAUAAUACUGCAUAACUACUGUUGUGUAGUCAAAGAAGGCCUCUGUUUACAAGCUUUUGCUGAAGGAUGAGUCCGCGUACCAUUAGCUGGUUGGUGGGGUAAUGGCCUACCAAGGCUACGAUGGUUAGCUGGUCUGAGAGGAUGAUCAGCCACACUGGAACUGAGACACGGUCCAGACUCCUACGGGAGGCAGCAGUGAGGAUAUUGCGCAAUGGGGCAACCCUGACGCAGCAACGCCGCGUGAGUGAGGAGGUUUUCGGACCGUAAAGCUCUGUCGAGCGGGAAGAAAGUGUAUCAUUGGCUAAUAUCCAUGAUACUUGACGGUACCGCUAAAGGAAGACCG
rnacentral:rRNA from 1 species